UUAAUUCAAAUUUGUAUGGAAUUGAAACAGCUUCCCUUCGUUUGCCGCUAGGGGCGCUGUUCCAACUCCAUACAAAUUUGAGUUA
rfam:Bombyx mori DNA, contig: Bm_scaf94_contig34946, strain: p50T/Dazao, build 2, whole genome shotgun sequence.